CAACGCUGUUAAUAAUAAU
rnacentral:miRNA from 1 species